rnacentral:lncRNA from 1 species
UGAGCCCCUUGGCCUUGAGCGAGAAGAAAUGGCCUUACUGUUGGACCCCGUAAGUCACCCGCCACUACCAACGCUAUCAGCAGCACCGGCCCAUGACUCUAAGCCUCCUUUCUUCAUCUCCCCAAAACCAAAACAAUUUCUUUCUCAUUCACUAUCAAUCAACCAUGCCCAUCUUUCUGCUCUGAAUGACCCUGUGACUUCGAGCUAUUACGCUUCACUACUCGAAUCCUGCAACUGCCACAGCCUUGGCAAACAAGUCCAUGCCCACACGCUUAAAAAUGGGUUUCAGGGGCAUGACUUUGUUGAGAC